rnacentral:rRNA from 1 species
GAAAUCCGGAUUAAUACCCCAUAAUGCAGGGGUACUGCAUGGUACUAUUUGCUAAAGAUUUAUCGGUUGUGGAUGGGCAUGCGUCUGAUUAGUUAGUUGGUGAGGUAACGGCCCACCAAGGCGACGAUCAGUAGGGGGUCUGAGAGGAUGAUCCCCCACACUGGUACUGAGAUACGGACCAGACUCCUACGGGAGGCAGCAGUAGGGAAUACUGGUCAAUGGGCGGAAGCCUGAACCAGCCAUGCCGCGUGCAGGAUGACGGCCUUCUGGGUUGUAAACUGCUUUUAUCAGGGAAGAAAACGGUCAUGCGUGACAGAUUGACGGUACCUGAAGAAUAAGCACCGGCUAACUCCGUGCCAGCAGCCGCGGUAAUACGGAGGGUGCAAGCGUUGUCCGGAUUUAUUGGGUUUAAAGGGUGCGUAGGCGGAUUAUUAAGUCAGUGGUGAAAGUUUGCGGCUCAACCGUAAAAGUGCCAUUGAUACUGGUAGUCUUGAGUACAGUAGAGGUAGGCGGAAUUUAUGGUGUAGCGGUGAAAUGCAUAGAUACCAUAAAGAACACCGAU